UUAUACAACCUCAACUCAUAUGGGACUACCCCCUGAAUUUAAGCAUAUUAAUUAGGGGAGGAAAAGAAACUAACAAGGAUUUUCUUAGUAGCGGCGAGCGAAAAGAAAACAGUUCAGCACUAAGUCACUUUGUCUAUAUGGCAAAUGUGAGAUGCAGUGUAUGGAACAUCUAUAUUCUAGUAUGAGAAAUUAACGAUUUAAGUCCUUCUUAAAUGAGGCCAUUUACCCAUAGAGGGUGCCAGGCCCGUAUAACGUUAAUGAUUACUAGAUGAUGAUUUCCAAAGAGUCGUGUUGCUUGAUAGUGCAGCACUAAGUGGGUGGUAAACUCCAUCUAAAACUAAAUAUAACCAUGAGACCGAUAGUAAACAAGUACCGUGAGGGAAAGUUGAAAAGAACUCUGAAUAGAGAGUUAAAUAGUACGUGAAACUGCUUAGAGGUUAAGCCCGAUGAACCUGAAUAUCCAUUAUGGGAAAUUCAUCAUUAUAAUUAUAAUAUUUAAUAAAUAUUAUAAUAAUAGUGUGCAUUUUUCCCAUAUAAGGACAUUGUAAUCUAUUAGCAUAUACAAAAUUUAUCAUAAAAUAUGGCUUAUAGUUUAUUCAAAUUAUUAUGGCUUGCCCAUUGAUAACAUAGAAUAAAUGUCAUUAAAUUUGAUAAAGUGCUGAUAGAUUGAUAUGAAUACAGUGUGUUAAUUUUUCGAAAUUAUAUAAUGAUAUUUAUAUCUAUGAUAUUUAUAUUUAUUAUAGGCACUUGUAUGAUUAACAAUGCGAAAGAUUCAUGAUACCUUCGGGACCCGUCUUGAAACACGGACCAAGGAGUCUAACAUAUAUGCAAGUCAUUGGGAUUUAUUUUAUAAACCUAAUGGCGUAAUUAACUUGACUACCAAUACAAAUGGGAUUAGUUUUUAAAUUAUUUUAUAUAGUUUAUUAAUUCAAUCCCGGGGCGCUCUAUAUAGUUAUGUAUAAUAAUAUUUAUAUUAUUUAUACCUCUAACUGGAACGUACCUUGAGCAUAUAUGCUGUGACCCGAAAGAUGGUGAACU
rnacentral:rRNA from 1 species